CUAAGCAUAUCAAUAAGCGGAGGAAAAGAAACCAACAGGGAUUGCCUUAGUAACGGCGAGUGAAGCGGCAACAGCUCAAAUUUGAAAUCUGGCUUCGGUCCGAGUUGUAAUUUGCAGAGGAUGUUUAUGGUGCGGUACCUUCCGAGUUCCCUGGAACGGGACGCCACAGAGGGUGAGAGCCCCGUCUGGUUGGAUACCAAACCUGUGUUAAACUCCUUCAACGAGUCGAGUAGUUUGGGAAUGCUGCUCUAAAUGGGAGGUAAAUCUCUUCUAAAGCUAAAUAUUGGCCAGAGACCGAUAGCGCACAAGUAGAGUGAUCGAAAGAUGAAAAGCACCUUGAAAAGGGGGUUAAACAGUACGUGAAAUUGUUGAAAGGGAAGCGUUUAUGACCAGACUUGUGCCGUGUGGCUCAUCCGAGGUUCUCCCCGGUGCACUCCACGCGGCUCAGGCCAACAUCGGUUUUCGCUGGGGGAUAAGAACAGUAGGAACGUAGCUCCCUUCGGGGAGUGUUAUAGCCUAUUGUACGAUACCCUGGCGGGGACCGAGGACCGCGCUUCGGCUAGGAUGUUGGCGUAAUGGUCAUUAGCGACCCGUCUUGAAACACGGACCAAGGAGUCGUCCAUUAGAGCGAGCGUUUGGGUGUAAAACCCGCACGCGUAAUGAAAGUGAAAUUAGGUGAGAGCUUCUGCGCAUCAUCGACCGAUCCUGAAGUUUACGGAUGGAUUUGAGUAAGAGUUUUAACGGACGGACCCGAAAGACAGUGAACUAUGCUUGAAUAGGGUGAAGCCAGAAGAAAUUCUGGUGGAGGCUCGCAGCGGUUCUGACGUGCAAAUCGAUCGUCAAAUUUGAGCAUGGGGGCGAAAGACUAAUCGAACUGUCUAGUAGCUGGUUACCGCCGAA
rnacentral:rRNA from 1 species